AAUAUUUUCUAGUAGGGAUGCUUUGGCAGCAUGUGACGUGGCAGUGUUUGUUCAUGACAGGUAGCUGAUAUGCCGUAUUGCCACUUGAAUGGAAUAAGAUAGGUGAUUGUUAAUGUUUGUGCCAUAUUGGUAAAAGUCGAUUGGUGGCAUAGUUGAUACUCCGUACUUACCACUGUAUGUUUUGGUGUAACUUGGUUUGGUGUUUUUAAAAUUUUUUAUAUGUAUUUAAUUUGGAAUUUUUUCC
rnacentral:lncRNA from 1 species